UUUUAUAUUUAUCUCCAUGUGGACUUAAGUGUAGAGGUGGCUACAAACUCUAAAAACUUGAGUGUUUGAAUUGUCAUUGGUGUAUUUGUUGAAUUUGUGUAUGUGGGGUGUUACUACUUACAGGAUUAUUUGCUUGGAAAGUAUAAAUAGCCAUUAAGAAAGUACUUUUAAUGUAAAUCGACCAUUUAUUUUUCUUGCGGGAGUAUUAUUGCUUUGUUUCCCUCAUGCUACUAAAAAGUUUUAGUUUGUCUAUCUCUUGUUUGUCUAUAGAUCCAACAACAGUUUGAAAGUACAUGUAAGACCACAUAUUUUCAAAAAAUUGUAUUGUAGUUUCUUUAAUAGAUUUGAGUGUUAUAUGAGUAAAUUGAGUCUCAUCAGUUCAGUUUGAAUAAGAGAUUAUAAGAGCACUCUUCAGUUAAAGGACUAAGGUUGUUCACCUUUAAAGAACUUAAGAAAUACAAUUGUUUUUCAGUUGCGAAUGACAAUAUUGGAUUCUGAGGAUAUGGAGAAGGUUAAUUGUUUCUUUGGUUAUUAGUGUAUGUUAGGUAAGAGGAAGAAGUAAGUUAAUAUAUAUUAGAAUGGGUUGGGAUGAGGUGAUUGUUUUAGUAUAAAAUCUUUUAUAAGACGAAAGUGCUUAGAUAAUUAAUUUCAAGACAUUAUUAUGAAACCAAUUGCAUUUGAUAAAAUUAUAUUGUAUUCAUGGAAUUGUGAGAAGAAAAUAUUAGUUAUAUUAUUAUUUGGAUGAAAAUAUGGAUAAAUUAACUUAUUCAAUCACACUUACUCUUUGACACGAAACUAUACGUCUUACUGCUUAUUUUCAUUUUUCUAAUAAUUACUACCAAUUGUAUAGGAGCACUCUGAACAUGAAGCCACAAAACAAAUUAUAUGUUUGAUUCAAAUAUGGAACAGGUAGCAGUACACACUAUAAUGAUGAUGAUGAUAUCUAUAUUCUAUGAAUAUUCACUCCACAUAUAUGUCUGUAUUCUGAAACCGUUUUUCAGUUUGUAGUAAUCCUAUAAUAUGAAUCGAGUAAUAUCACUAACCUAAGACAAACAAAGAACAAGUUGUUGAACUCAAAAAUUAUACACACAAAAAUCGAGUAACAUCACUAACCUAAGUAUAAAAUGGUGCAAGAAGCAGAGCUCAAAACAACAAUGGUAUGGCUGUUGUUUUUGCAGCUGGGUUUUUGCAUACUGAUUUACACAUUUUUUUGUGUUCUUUUAUUUUUCUCGCUCUCCAUAUAUAGAUGGCUCUCUCUUCUUAAUGAUUAGAUAUAAUGAACUUUAGUGUAGUUUUUGGAAAUGAAAUCAUAGUGGAGUUGGUUGUACAUGAAGUCUACCUUAUUUGCUUCAUCAAAUGGUGAUACCAUAAUAGAAGUUCAUGCUCAUACAGUUAAAGUCAUAAUAAAUGGCAAAAUAUAUUGUAUUAUGAUGACUCAAUUGCAACUAAUGGAACCAAAAAAUUUCUUAUUGGAUAAUUUUUUUAUUUUAAUUUCUCAAUAACGUAAUUUAAUAUAUUUAUAAUUUUUAGUUUACUUUCUUAUGACUUUGAGUAGUCAGUGUAUAGUUUGAAUGAAGUUAACAUGUCUACCAAAAAGAAAAUUAAAGAUUAAAGUCUAUUGUCUUUGCUUAAAUUUAAUUGUCUGGACUAUGUUAUUUUUAGUAACAUGAAUUCUUUCAUAAUUUUUAGCAACAUGAGUGGAUCAUCGUCAAACAUGAGAAAACGUAAUUGGUAUGCAAAUAUUUCAAAGGAGCAACGAGAGGCAAUACAAAAAAAAAAAGACGUGAUGCUUAUACUUCCAAGAAACUUUAUAUGAUUGUAAGUGACUAACUCAAGACUUCAAUGACAAAUAUCAAGAAAAUAUCAAAUAUUUAGAUCAUAAUUUACUUUUCUUAAGUGAGGACAAGAUUCCAAGUUGGGAAUCCUCCUCUCCUAAUGUCUCAAGUUAUUCUUUUGCCUCCAUUCAUAAUAUGUUGUUGAAUCUAUUUUAAUAAUCUCGUUAUAUUACUUUAUGGGCAAAAUUUGUGCUUAAAGU